rnacentral:rRNA from 2 species
CUUUAUUGGAGAGUUUGAUCCUGGCUCAGGAUGAACGCUGGCGGCGUGCCUAAUACAUGCAAGUCGAGCGAAUGGAUUAAGAGCUUGCUCUCAAGAAGUUAGCGGCGGACGGGUGAGUAACACGUGGGUAACCUGCCCAUAAGACUGGGAUAACUCCGGGAAACCGGGGCUAAUACCGGAUAACAUUUUGAACUGCAUGGUUCGAAAUUGAAAGGCGGCUUCGGCUGUCACUUAUGGAUGGACCCGCGUCGCAUUAGCUAGUUGGUGAGGUAACGGCUCACCAAGGCAACGAUGCGUAGCCGACCUGAGAGGGUGAUCGGCCACACUGGGACUGAGACACGGCCCAGACUCCUACGGGAGGCAGCAGUAGGGAAUCUUCCGCAAUGGACGAAAGUCUGACGGAGCAACGCCGCGUGAGUGAUGAAGGCUUUCGGGUCGUAAAACUCUGUUGUUAGGGAAG